AACGAACGCUGGCGGCAUGCCUAACACAUGCAAGUCGAACGAUCCCUUCGGGGAUAGUGGCGCACGGGUGCGUAACGCGUGGGAAUCUGCCCUUGGGUUCGGAAUAACAGUUAGAAAUGACUGCUAAUACCGGAUGAAGUCUUCGGACCAAAGAUUUAUCGCCCAGGGAUGAGCCCACGUAGGAUUAGGUAGUUGGUGAGGUAAAGGCUCACCAAGCCGACGAUCCUUAGCUGGUCUGAGAGGAUGAUCAGCCACACUGGGACUGAGACACGGCCCAGACUCCUACGGGAGGCAGCAGUGGGGAAUAUUGGACAAUGGGCGCAAGCCUGAUCCAGCAAUGCCGCGUGAGUGAUGAAGGCCUUCGGGUCGUAAAGCUCUUUUACCCGGGAUGAUAAUGACAGUACCGGGAGAAUAAGCUCCGGCUAACUCCGUGCCAGCCGCCGCAGUAAGAC
rnacentral:rRNA from 1 species